UGAUGUAGCUCAGUAGGUAGAGCGCAUCCUUGGUAAGGAUGAGGUCGCCGGUUCAACUCCGAUCAUCA
rnacentral:tRNA from 1 species